CUUAAGGCUGCAUGUCCUUUAAUUUCUAUGUCAAUGUGGCCAUUUGAUUGGAGUGCAAUUUCUACACUUGCUCUUUACCAUUUUGAUGCCAUGUGUCAAUUUUCUUUAGGCUUAGUGUGGCAUCUUGUUCUUAAUUCACAAAUCUAGUGCACCUAUUCUCCUACAAGGUGACACCAAGCAUCACGUGAAUCAUAGUCCAAACCAUGGCUUUGGAAUUGGAGUGCAAUCAUAUGUCAAGUAUCACCUUUAUUCAUGACUAUGUGUGCUCUUCAUAGAAGAAGGACUAUGAAACUCAUGGUGCAUGGCCUCAUAUGCUUGGGGACCAACCACUUUGAGCCCAAGGGGCGGAUCAUGAGCUACUAGAGAUGAAGAGGAAAAUGAAGAUGGUGAGGCUUAGCUUGUAGAGGUCACCCUUUACGUUUGAUGCUUUUAAAUUUCAGAUUUUAGUUUUAGUACUUAGUUUUAUUUCAAGCAUGUGGUAGUUUAUGUUAGUUGUUACAUAAUUUUUAGUGUUGCUAUUGUUUUAUCUUUUGUGGUGUUAUUGAUCAUGUGAUUGAAGGUUCUACGCUUGUUUCACUUGUGCAUGUGAAUAAUUUUUUGGGGGGAAGUUUCUCUUGCAA